CCUACGGGAGGCAGCAGUGAGGAAUAUUGGUCAAUGGGCGAGAGCCUGAACCAGCGACGUCGCGUGAAGGAUGACGGCCCUACGGGUUGUAAACUUCUUUUGUCAGGGAGCAAUUGUGUCCACGCGUGGGCUUAGCGAGAGUACCUGAAGAAAACGCAUCGGCUAACUCCGUGCCAGCAGCCGCGGUAAUAAGGAGCAUGCGAGCAGUAUCCGGAUUUAUUGGGUUUAAAGUGUGCGGAGGCGGAAUAACAAGUCAGCGGUAAAAAUUCGGGGCUCAACCCCGUCGGGCCGUUGAAACUGAGGUUCUUGAGUGGGCGAGAAGUAUGCGGAAUGCGUGGUGUAGCGGUGAAAUGCAUAGAUAUCACGCAGAACUCCGAUUGCGAAGGCAGCAUACCGG
rnacentral:rRNA from 1 species